rnacentral:pre_miRNA from 12 species
UACUACUACUGUUUUUAGUGGGUGAGGGUCCAGUGUUUCACAUUGAUUUCUGUAUUUGUGACUAGAUCCACACUCAUUAAUAACGGUAGUUC